rnacentral:lncRNA from 1 species
UGAUGAUGGUUUACAAUCGAUUACACUGCAGUAAAUACCAUGCAGCUUUUUUCCACUCUUAUACUAGAAAUUUGUGUAGUUUGUCCACAUGAAUGUGUCGAGAUGAAACAACAAGCAUUCAUGAGCACCAUGUAUUAGCAUGGGGUCACAUGUUCCCAAUAGAAAAAUCUAAUUUGGUGUAAGUUUUUAUAACUGACAAUUAUUUCCCCCUCAGCAAAUAUUAGAUCCCCCCCCCCCCUCUCCCCCUCAGCAAAUAUUUAGUUAUUUGAUCACAUUAUUUCAAAAAUAAUUGAAUGCUUCUAUCAAAUUU